rnacentral:rRNA from 1 species
UGGGGAAUAUUGGACAAUGGGCGAAAGCCUGAUCCAGCCAUGCCGCGUGUGUGAAGAAGGUCUUAUGGUUGUAAAGCACUUUAAGCGAGGAGGAGGGUACUGGUAUUAAUACUACCAGGUACUGGACGUUACUCGCAGAAUAAGCACCGGCUAACUCUGUGCCAGCAGCCGCGGUAAUACAGAGGGUGCGAGCGUUAAUCGGAUUUACUGGGCGUAAAGCGUGCGUAGGCGGCUAAUUGAGUCGGAUGUGAAAUCCCCGAGCUUAACUUGGGAAUUGCAUUCGAUACUGGUUAGCUAGAGUGUGGGAGAGGAUGGUAGAAUUCCAGGUGUAGCGGUGAAAUGCGUAGAGAUCUGGAGGAAUACCGAUGGCGAAGGCAGCCAUCUGGCCUAACACUGACGCUGAGGUGCGAAAGCAUGGGGAGCAAACAGG